rnacentral:rRNA from 1 species
UUUUCCUACGGGGGGCAGCAGUAAGGGAUAUUGGUCAAUGGGGGAAACCCUGAACCAGCAACGCUGCGUGAGGGAAGACGGUCCUAUGGAUUGUAAACCUCUUUUGCCGGGGAGCAAAAAGCGGUACGUGUACCGCAUCGAGAGUACCCGGAGAAAAAGCAUCGGCUAACUCCGUGCCAGCAGCCGCGGUAAUACGGAGGAUGCGAGCGUUAUCCGGAUUUAUUGGGUUUAAAGGGUGCGCAGGCGGCGAGUUAAGUCAGCGGUAAAAUUUCGGGGCUCAACCCCGACGAGCCGUUGAAACUGGC